AGACACUGCAGUGCAGACAGCCCAAGUUCCCAUGCUGGGAGACUUUUGGGUCCGUUACUAUCAGUCUGUACACAAAGCAAUGGAACAACGCAAGCUAAUCCAUUCCAGAGCAAACACAAAUCUGAACCCUGACCUUAAUAAAGACGAAAGAACAGCUGAAUAAGGAAGGGCGUAAUUACUAAGGCGUUCUCGCUUGUAAAGGAGCUAUCGAUUCCUGCCCAAACUGACCUAGCCUGCAGCAAUGCUUGCUAACGUGAGUAAUUCACUGAUUAGCUAGCGGAUCUCUGAUUUGACGGCAUUGGUUCUCCAUCGACAAAAGACCCACCGUACAAUGGACCUCCCUGUAGACCAUCUUGGUCUUCUCGUACUAGAACUGGUGAUAACUGGAUAUUGAUCUGUAGACUCUGAUUGCGCUCCCAUAAUGAAGGCUGUAUUUUGCCAUCUGCCGAGCUCAUUUUCUGCCAAGCAUGCCAGUCUUUGUACAGCCACCAGUUCCAUUGAUUCUACCCUGACCGCCAGCGCCACUUCGCCUCGAGGUAAUGCAGUCUCCUGUGUCCUGUGUCCCUCCCUCCAUCCCUCCAGGUAAUGCAGUCUCCUGUGUCCUGUGUCCCUCCAUCCCUCCAGGUAAUGCAGUCUCCUGUGUCCUGUGUCCCUCCAUCCAUCCCUCAAGGUAAUGCAGUCUCCUGUGUCCCUUCAUCCCUCCAGGUAAUGCAGUCUCCUGUGUCCUGUGUCCCUCCCUCCAUCCCUCCAGGUAAUGCAGUCUCCUGUGUCCUGUGUCCCUCCAUCCCUCCAGCUUUGCACACGCUUGGCAUUCUCUCAACCAGCUUCACCUG